UAGGGAAUCUUCCGCAAUGGACGCAAGUCUGACGGAGCAACGCCGCGUGAGUGAAGAAGGAUUUCGGUUCGUAAAACUCUGUUGUUAGAGAAGAACAGCGCAUAGAGUAACUGUUAUGCGUGUGACGGUAUCUAACCAGAAAGCCACGGCUAACUACGUGCCAGCAGCCGCGGUAAUACGUAGGUGGCAAGCGUUGUCCGGAUUUAUUGGGCGUAAAGCGAGCGCAGGCGGUUAGAUAAGUCUGAAGUUAAAGGCAGUGGCUCAACCAUUGUAGGCUUUGGAAACUGUUUAACUUGAGUGCAGAAGGGGAGAGUGGAAUUCCAUGUGUAGCGGUGAAAUGCGUAGAUAUAUGGAGGAACACCGGUGGCGAAAGCGGCUCUCUGGUCUGUAACUGACGCUGAGGCUCGAAAGCGUGGGGAGCGAACAGG
rnacentral:rRNA from 1 species